rnacentral:rRNA from 1 species
ACCUACGGGGGGCAGCAGUGGGGAAUAUUGCACAGUGGGGGAAACCCUGAUGCAGCAACGCCGCGUGAAGGAAGACGGUUUUCGGAUUGUAAACUUCUGUUCUUAGUGAAGAAGAAUGACGGUAGCUAAGGAGCAAGCCACGGCUAACUACGUGCCAGCAGCCGCGGUAAUACGUAGGUGGCAAGCGUUGUCCGGAAUUACUGGGUGUAAAGGGAGCGCAGGUGGGAAGCCAAGUCAGCUGUGAAAACUACGGGCUUAACUUGUAGACUGCAGUUGAAACUGGUUUUCUUGAGUGAAGUAGAGGU